rnacentral:rRNA from 1 species
UACGAAGGGGGCUAGCGUUGCUCGGAAUUAUUGGGCGUAAAGAGCGUGUAGGCGGUUAGGUAGGUCCGUUGUGAAAACUCGAGGCUCAACCUCGAGACGCCGAUGGAAACCAUCUGACUAGAGUCCGGAAGAGGAGAGUGGAAUUCCUGGUGUAGCGGUGAAAUGCGCAGAUAUCAGGAAGAACACCCGUGGCUAAGGCGGCUCUCUAGUACGUGACUGACGCUGAGACGCGAAAGCGUGGGGAGCGAACAGG